rnacentral:rRNA from 1 species
AACGAACGCUGGCGGCAGGCUUAACACAUGCAAGUCGAGCGCCCGCAAGGGAGCGGCAGACGGGUGAGUAACGCGUGGGAAUCUACCUAGUUCUACGGAACAACACAGGGAAACUUGUGCUAAUACCGUAUACGCCCUACGGGGGAAAGAUUUAUCGGAAUUAGAUGAGCCCGCGUUGGAUUAGCUAGUUGGUGGGGUAAUGGCCUACCAAGGCGACGAUCCAUAGCUGGUCUGAGAGGAUGAUCAGCCACACUGGGACUGAGACACGGCCCAGACUCCUACGGGAGGCAGCAGUGGGGAAUAUUGGACAAUGGGCGAAAGCCUGAUCCAGCCAUGCCGCGUGAGUGAUGAAGGCCUUAGGGUUGUAAAGCUCUUUCAGUAGGGAAGAUAAUGACGGUACCUACAGAAGAAGCCCCGGCUAACUUCGUGCCAGCCGCCGCAGUAA